UGCGCGAAAGUCAUAAAGAAAAAGCUUGGCACCCGGUUUGAUCCUGAAGGACAACUUCUUGUUGCACCAUGAGUAGCCCGAAAACACAGUAAAGACAGCAUUGGGGUUUGGUUGAGCCAUUGCACAUGAAUAUGAAACCACAUUUUUCUUCUUCUUCUUCUUGUAAUUUCUUCAUUUUCUUGGGAACAAGAGUUCCCAAAUCAAAUCCGAAUGAGGGCACAAAAACAAAGCAACAAACUUUUACAGUCAGUGACAGACCAAAUUACUCCAAUAAGCGAUGGGUCUACUCAAGGCAAGCGUCAAUCAUCAUGGACUUCACAACGGUGGCUGCCUAAAAACUACUGUUGCCAAACGUCUCAUUCUCUCUUAUUGUUUAUUAAUGAACAUUUCUACAAGUCUUUAUCAUCUAUAAUCAUUUUUAAUUGAUUUAAGUCUGAGAAUUUGAUGCUCCAAGUUUUUUUACUCUUUGUAAUUUAUACCAUUUAUCAUCUUUUUUCCAUCCAUACCUCCAUUCAUUAUACUUUUUUAGUUUUUUCAAUUAACUUACAACCAAAAGAUUUGGUGAUGAUGAAUCCUUCUCCUCCUCGACGCAUAGUGGGUCUUCACAGGGUCCGAUAGUGACGAUGGCUUCUUCUUCUUCUUCUUCACCUCGGCACGCUGUGGACGACGACUUGGGUUCAGGGCUCGCACUUGGUAAGUUUCUCUAUCGAAUAUGGAUUUUUUUCUUAUCUAAUGUGGUUUGUGUGAGGUCUCACUUUUGCGGAAUCGUGGGUUGGGUCUGGAUUGUGUUUUUUAUUCAAGCUAUUUCCCCAUAUUACAUGUUCAAGUUCUUGAAGAAGAGAAGGAUAAGUGGAUGAAUGUCUUUAGGUGGAAUAUUACUGUGCAUAACAGGCUCAGAGGCUAUGUUUGCUGAUCUUGGACACUUCUCAUAUGCGGCCAUUCAGAUUGCUUUCACCUUUCUGGUUUAUCCAGCACUUAUUUUGGCAUACAUGGGCGAAGCUGCUUAUUUAUCACAUCAUCACCACUCCAAACAUAGUAUCAGUUUUUAUGUCUUA